UCUGCAGGCUGGAGAAGUCAGGGAGAUGGGUCCAACUGCCAUUUCCAAGGAGCCCAAACCACCUGCAGUGUUCCUGGAAACCCAAGGCACUCUGUCUCACAAGAAAACCAAGAGCAACUUGCUCAAGGACUGCAUUCAUCACUGCCUGCCAAUUAGAGAAACAAAACUGAUCAGUCAGGAGGACACAAGUGGCACAAUGACUCAGCUCAGCGCCGUGGAAACACAAGCACUCUGAAGUGUUCUGUCACAACAACGGGCAUUAUGGAUAUACAGAAGCAGCUUUCACUUGAACUGUCCAAGAUUCUCCAAGACUGAAUUCUUAUACACAUUCAUCUAUGAUGACAAAAUCAGAUCAGCAUGAAAGAGGAAAACCUCUAUUUCAGGUCGACUCAAAUGAGAGCAGAAAAACUGGGGCCAGAUGAUUUCCCCACCACUGGAAGCAGUGUCAGCUCCGUGGUAUUGCCACAAAAUCUGGCACCAGAAGCCAGGAGAAAGCACCAGAUCACCAAAGACAAGGAUGCCCAAGAGGGCACCAGGAAACAGUAUUUUAGAAUGGUUUGGGGACGUGGGACAAGAAACAACACUUUUGAGGCCUGCUCGGGGCCAUGGAUAUCCUGACAGUGCUGGAGACUAACUCUGGAAAGCAGCUAUCACUUCAGUGCAGACUGAGGAGGAGUUGGGGUCUAGCUAAGUUCAGAAUGACGGGGACACAAAAAAACACUUCUAAAGAAAUUGUCUAAAAUAUGCAUUUUCUAUUUUUAUGGCAAACACGACUAGUUGCUAGUAUUCAAAAGCAAUUAUGCAGAGGCUGAUCUAUAAAUAAUGCAAAACCCAGAAAGGAGAGAUCCAAACUCAUUUACAGCACACCCCAUGCUGUACUGAAUAAUGUUAUGCCCCAGCUUUCACCAUCCCCAUAAAACAGAAAUGCAAUCAAAAAGCUGAGAAAGAAGAGAAGCAUCUCCCCUGCUCUCCAGCCAAAAAGGAAGACAACAUCUGAACCAAGUAUGCACCUCUAGGAUCAGAAGCAUUUCAAUUUCCCCCCUCAAAAAAAUUUACUUCUUGAUUGCAA